UUUCCGUAGGUGAACCUGCGGAAGGAUCAUUAUUGUAUAACCGAGGUGCAAGGGCUGUCGCUGACCCGAAAGGUCGUGCACGCCCGAGUGCCCUCACACACAUCCAUCUCACCCCUAUGUGCACCACCGCGUGGGUCCCCCUUUGGCUUGUUCGGAGGGGGGCUUACGUUUUCACACAAACUCUGUAUGCAGUGUAGAAUGUAUUUUUUGUUUUUGCGAUCACGCAAUCAAUACAACUUUCAACAACGGAUCUCUUGGCUCUC
rnacentral:misc_RNA from 1 species